rnacentral:rRNA from 1 species
AAUUCUGGCACGGGGAGGUAGUGACGAAAAUAACGAUGCGGGACUCAUACGAGGCUCCGUAAUCGGAAUGAGAACACUCUAAAUCCUUUAACGAGGACCAAUUGGAGGGCAAGUCUGGUGCCAGCAGCCGCGGUAACUCCAGCUCCAAUAGCGUAUAUUAAAGUUGCUGCAGUUAAAAAGCUCGUAGUUGGAUCUUGACGGCAUUACUGCGUGUUUGGGUUUCAUUGUAUUGCUUAUGUCCUUUAUCUGCAUGCAUAUAGUGUAAAGCAUGUGUAUGUAUGAUAAGGUGAUUUUGGGCACAAUGUACCCAACUCGUCGGUGGUGAAGUCUUUCAGCCGUGUCUGUUGUCUUUACAUUUUGUGUGCUAUAGCAUUAAUUAUGUUAUGGUAUUACAAAUAGUAUAAGGUGCAGGUGCCGAUAGUUGGAAUUUUGGGUCCGUCCCAGCCUUCUGUUGGUACGCCUCGUGAUGCUCUUAACUGAGCCGUCGCGAGUGCGGACGGCAUGUUUACUUUGAACAAAUUUGAGUGCUCAAAGCAGGCCUACGUGCCUGAAAAGUCUUGCAUGGAAUAAUGGAAUAGGACUUCGGUUCUAUUUUGUUGGUUUUCGGUUCCGAAGUAAUGGUUAAGAGAGACAGACGGGGGCAUUUGUAUGGCGGUGUUAGAGGUGAAAUUCUUGGAUCGCCGCCAGACAAUCUGAAGCGAAAGCAUUUGCCAGGAAUGUUUUCAUUGACAAAGAGCGAAAGUCAGAGGUUCGAAGACGAUCAGAUACCGUCCUAGUUCUGACCAUAAACGAUGCCAACUGACGAUCCGCGGUGGUAGUACAUAUCGUCCCCGCGGGCAGUCUCCGGGAAACCUGUAAGUCUUUGGGUUCCGGGGGAAGUAUGGUUGCAAAGCUGAAACUUAAAGGAAUUGACGGAAGGGCACCACCAGGAGUGGAGCCUGCGGCUUAAUUUGACUCAACACGGGAAAACUCACCCGGCCCGGACACUGUGAGGAUUGACAGAUUGACAGCUCUUUCUUGAUCCAGUGGUUGGUGGUGCAUGGCCGUUCUUAGUUGGUGGAGCGAUUGUCUGUAAUCCGAUAACGAACCAAGACCU